UUGAACGCUGGCGGCAUGCUUUACACCUGCAAGUCGAACGGCAGCGGGGAGGAGCUUGCUUCUCUGCCGGCGAGUGGCGAACGGGUGAGUAAUACAUCGGAACGUGUCGAGAAGAGGGGGAUAACCACCCGAAAGGGUGGCUAAUACCGCAUAAAUUCUGAGGAAGAAAGCUGGGGACCUAGGAAUAGGCCUAGCGCUUUUUGAGCGGCCGAUGUCGGAUUAGCUAGUUGGUGAGGUAAAGGCUCACCAAGGCGAAGAUCUGUAGCGGGUCUGAGAGGAUGAUCCGCCACACUGGGACUGAGACACGGCCCAGACUCCUACGGGAGGCAGCAGUGGGGAAUUUUGGACAAUGGGGGCAACCCUGAUCCAGCCAUGCCGCGUGUAUGAAGAAGGCCUUAGGGUUGUAAAGUACUUUUGUUAGGGAAGAAAAGUCAGCUGUGAAUAAUGGCUGAUACUGACGGUACCUAAAGAAUAAGCACCGGCUAACUACGUG
rnacentral:rRNA from 1 species